GGGUUGUACCGGGAUGUGGACAUGAAGCUAGGGUUAGGGUUAGGGUUGAGGCUUGGGUUAGGGUUGAACCAGGAUGUGGAUAUAAUGCUAGGGGUAAGGUUAUGGUUACUGCUAUAAGUAAUAAUGAGUAAUUACAAGACUUGUUACACUGUAAUUACAUGAGUAGUUACACAGUAAUAAAGGCACUAAUGUAAGGCGUUACCCUUUAUUUCUCCCAAAGGAACCAAUACAGUAGUGAGUGAGAAAUAUUCAGAUUCUCUGAAUCUACAAGGUCCUUAUUUGAAAAACAAAUCCAAUUUAUCCCCCUUUUUUUAUCUACCUCAGGGAAUGGUUCCUGGACAGGGCUGGCUGGCGCUCCGUUAGAACUUCUAGUAUUCCAGGCUGACGCAGGAAGACCACUAUCUUCUCAUUAUAAGCUUACACACCUUGUGGCACUGGGUCUGGGGGAUGCUGACUCCGUAUUGCUGCCACCACACUGUUCCCUGGCCGUGACAACAAGGCCACACCUCGACUACGGGAGACCUCAGAGGCCUGAAAAAAUACAUUUGAAAAAAGGAUCAGUUAUAAACAAACAAAUACAUCAAUUCAAUUCCAUAUUUCCAUCAUUCUAAUACAUGAUUGGCCCUUAUUAAACAGUUACUACACUUAAAAACCAGGAAAUGUCUUCUGUGUGCUGUUUGACUCUCCUGACCUCUCCUGCGCUGUAGCUGCGUAGUCUCUGCAGGUGCUGCCUGUGGGUCAGGUGGUUGGGCAGGCAACCGUUCUGCAGGGGGAUUCUGGGGUCGAUGAACGUGGUCGCCCGGCUGUUGUGGUCCACAAAGAAGUUCUGGACCAAAGAGAAGAUGUUACAGGUACAAUCAGCCCUUAUGUGAAUAGGUGGGCGAGUUAUCUGUGGAUGAACUGAGGAUCUUUGUCUCUGCACCUUGCCCUGAGGGUCAGUCUUGAUCUCCCAGCCCCGGGGAAGUUCCAGCUGGGCGUCAGCGAAGCGGUUGAGGAAGGUGACCAGGUCUCUGUUGUGCUGGUACCUCUCAAGGUUACGAGCAUCUCUACGAAUCUUCAGGAUCAUGUGCUUCAGGCACGUACUGCUGGUGAACAUGCGAUAGGCCCCCUGAGAAGAGAAGAAGAGCUCGGCAUGACCAUGGAAACUAGAAACCCCAUAUGCAACCAAUCUGAACCAAAAUGGAAGAAUAUUCAGCAUCUGUUACUGAAGACAAUAUGUUACUAAGCAUUGAUAUUGCUGUUCAAAGGGAAAUUAUGCUUAUUUGUCAGAUGAGCUAUGCUGACUGUUUAGAGUUAUAAAUGUCCACUGGGAGACAGGUACUCACAUAGUUGGCGUGGAGGACAGUGAAGAACUCUGGGUGUGUGAUGAACUUCACCGCUGGGCUCUGUAGCAGAGCUGUGAUUUUCUGACUGUUGACUGGAGAUGAUGAUGAUGAGGAGGAGCUGUCUCUUCUCAGCUCUACACACACACACCAGGAGAAAUAAAGGAACAAUUCACUGAAUGGUGACUUAUGUACAAUUUCUAUGUAUGUAGUACUUUGAUAAGUCUCUCACUAAACAGGAUCUGUGUAGACCCAUUAGUUUUACAAAGCAAGACUACACUUAAAUAGCACAUCAGCUUAUUGCAUUCUGUAAUUGUGACAUUGUGGUGUGGUCCUACUCACCAUUAGCCAUUGGAGGAGAGUCAGUCUCACUGCUGUUGUUGUUGAGGCUUGUUCUCUCACUCCUGCUUCUGCUUUCUUCAUUCUCACUCCUGUCUGUGGCCAUGGUCCUCUGGAUGCUCUGGUACCUGACAAACACACCAGCACACAUUUACCAAACAUCCAGAAAUCAGAGCACCGCUGCCUGCAUAUAGACCAAUUCUUUAAGAGUGCAAGAAACUAGUGAACAUGACUUAUCUGAGUACGUUUACAUGCAUAGUAAUAAUUUGAUUCUAAACUGACUAUGGCAGUAGGCAGAUUAUGCAGUAAUCAUGGAAACACAUGACCUUGCUUAUCUUAAUUGGCGUAAGGUCAACAUCGAAGUAAACAUAGGCAGAUUAAAACAACUUGUUUUCUGAGCAAUCUUUCAAAUUAUUAGAACAUGUAAACAUCUUAAUCGGUGUUCCAGCAGUGUAUUUGAUCUGUGUAUGUGCUAACACCAGCCGAGAGCCUCCCUCUUUAGACCGAAUGAAGUGAGUUCGGAAACAACUGAAUGUGUGCGUCUUAGAAGUAGUUUUCACAUACAAACUUUAUAUGUCCGAACUCAAAAUCAAAUAUGCUUCCCAAAAAUAACAUGGAUGCUGUGGUAAAACGUUUAUUUUGAUUGGUGAUUUUCUGCAUUUAUCAGACUGAUUUCAGAUCUGUCCAUGGAAACAGGAUUAUGAGGGUAUUGGGGUGUUGGUUUAACAUGGAAUUAUGAAUGGUUCUUCUUACAAAGCAUGUCAACGUUUUAAUCAAACUAUUAUAGUAAUCUGACUAUCAACAAUAAUUGCAUUAUUGUGUGCAUGUAACCGUACUCAUUGAGUCUAUGCAGUUAAAUCCAGCUUGAAAGGUCACAAUUUGUCUGCCAGUAAUAUUUAGUGCAGAUUCUUAACUGCCCGUAGGGAUAAAAUACAGUUGUAUUCCAUUGAAUAUGGACUUUUGUUAUUGAAUUCAAUGUUAAUUCAUCCAGAGAAGAGGGGCAGAACUCAAGCUUAUACUCACAAAGCACCAGAGAGAGGAAUUGAAUUUGAGACCAGUGAUCAAUGGAUUAUACCACCAUAAUAGUCUUCUACACAUGUAAAGUCUGACAAUGAAAAAGAUCUCUGACACAGCCCCGACACUGUCCACUGCUCAUGCUUCCAAUUGGACACGCUUCUCAUUCCAGACACACACAGCGAAUUCCACCAGCGCAGCAAUAACCAUUUAAAUGAAUUUAUUCUCCCUCGGCUUUCUGUCUCCCCAAUCCCGUUAAGAGAUUUCAUGCACUGCAGUUGUAUAAUAACACUUAAGCAAUAACACUUAUUCACAGCCUGUUCUGCACAUUUCUCAUUUGAUUUUUACUGUCAAGUAAUUCUUUCUCCAUCCAAAAUAUCUCAGGCAUUUGACAGAGAGUUCUUCUAGUAAUGGCUCUAAUAUUAGCCCCCCCAAAAAUCACACCUUACAUAGCAAGCAGCCACAGCACAUACCAAAUGUUCAGCACACAACAUAUAUUGGUAUCAAAGAGAUUCAAUAAUUUGAUCUUAAUACAAAACUUCCCAAUACUCAUAAAGAACUGACAUUUCUAUUAAAAUCAUCCAAAAAACAAAGAGGCUUUACAUUCUUCCUACAACCACCAAAUGGCCCUAUAUAAUGGAUGUUUUCAGUUGUGCUUUUUGAAAAUAAAAUAAAGAAACAAUUCCAAAAGUA